UAUUGUAUGAGGAUACUAAGAUAGGGACAACUGAUGUCUAUGAAUGAUUUAUCGAAUUUUCUGACACCUAUGUA